rnacentral:lncRNA from 1 species
GAUUCUGCUCUCAGGGUGUUGAUUGACGUCUGGAAGGCAGAGACUCGUGGAUUAGCAAGCAUGUGUAAGAAAGUGCUCUGGAUGCCACAGGGUGGUAAUUUGUGCAUGGAAAAUGGCUGGGGUGAAGAGGAGACUAGGGUCUCACAUGAGUACUUCACAAUGGGGAAACUGAACUGGAACUCUACUGACAACGCAGUUGGGAGUUCAAACUUAAUAACCUUCCAGAGUUGGUAUCAAAUUCAGACGCUGACGCUCCUUGGAGAGGUUCUUUGCUGCAAGAGGAUGGAAAGGAUCACUGUGAUUUUGUUUUUCUCCUGCUGCUCUGUCUGGAAGCCAUGUGAGGAGGACAUCUGAGCAGCCCUGUGGAGAGGCCCCCAGCCAACAGCCAGCAUGAACUUGCUGGGCAUGUGAGUGCACCACCUUGAAAGUAGAGCCUCAACCCCUGGUCAAG